UUGCUUCCAUACAUGGAGACAUGAAGGUAGUUUGCUCACCAAGCAGAUAUGCAAAAACAGUACAAGGGCUCUCAGAUAGCCACAAGGAUGCCAUUAAAAGAGCAGGAUUUCAAGGGAUGUUAUACAUGAAGCCAAUUCAUCUUCGACGUUUAAUGCUAGUGAAGAUCGCCAAGAGGUACAUCAUCCAGAAGCAGUGCUUUCUUCUAUGUGGUAAAGAAAUUCCUAUAACGCUAUCAGAUGUGUACCACAUAAUGGGUCUUCCAAUACAGGGGAAGAAUAUAGAUGUUGCUACUAUUUCAGAUUGCAACAAUGAACUGUUCAUCGCAUACAGAAGCAAGAAAGCAGGAGACACCCAUAUUACUCUGAAGUUCUCGAGGACAGCAUAACUACCUCUAAAAUUCCUGACGAUGACUUCAUACGUCAAUUUGUUUUGUAUACCAUUGGGCUUAUUUUAGCACCCACAACGAAAGACCACGUUGACUCAAAAUAUUUGGCCUUCGUUGAAAACGUCACAGAUAUUCCUAAGUUUAACUGGGGGCAUUUCACCUUGACUCACUUACUGGGUUGCAUCAAAACUUUCAAACAAGGUGAGAAAGUUAAUCUUCAGGGCAACUUACCUUUGCUCCAAUUUUGGUACUGGGAGCAUGUCCACGCUUAUAGCAAGCAUGUUGUUUCAUACACUCGUGCACCUCAUCCGCUGAUGGCGCGAUGGGAUGAUGUAAAUGCAAAACUACGAACUGAUGCAUAUGAUGCGGACGGAAUAGAUGGGGGAGUGGUUAUCAUGGCUAUUUCAGAUCGGAACACUCCAGGCAAUACUAUCAAUAAUCAAACACGACAAAAGGGACAUGAUGAUAUCCAUGAUCACGAAAAAGGCAGGCAUCAAGAACAGCCUACAGACCAGCCUGUGUCUAGCAA